GACGAACGCUGGCGGCGUGCUUAACACAUGCAAGUCGAACGGAAAGGCCCUGCUUUUGUGGGGUGCUCGAGUGGCGAACGGGUAAGUAACACGUGAGUAACCUGCCCUUGACUUUGGGAUAACUUCAGGAAACUGGGGCUAAUACCGGAUAGGAGCUCCUGCUGCAUGGUGGGGGUUGGAAAAUUUCGGCGGUUGGGGAUGGACUCGCGGCUUAUCAGCUUGUUGGUGGGGUAGUGGCUUACCAAGGCUUUGACGGGUAGCCGGCCUGAGAGGGUGACCGGCCACAUUGGGACUGAGAUACGGCCCAGACUCCUACGGGAGGCAGCAGUGGGGAAUAUUGCACAAUGGGCGGAAGCCUGAUGCAGCAACGCCGCGUGCGGGAUGACGGCCUUCGGGUUGUAAACCGCUUUCGCCUGUGACGAAGCGUGAGUGACGGUAAUGGGUAAAGAAGCACCGGCUAACUACGUG
rnacentral:rRNA from 1 species